CUUUUCAGUUUGACAGUAAGUCCCUUUGGCUGCUCCCUUGUUUUCACUCUAGGUCACCACAGUACAUCCAAGGUGGACCCGCAUGUUGAUUGGCAUAAUUUUUACACCGGAUACCCUUCUUGACGCAACUCCACAUUACAUGGAGAAAUG